rnacentral:tRNA from 1 species
GCCGAGCUGGACAACGGCGUGGUCGUCGGGCAGCUGCCGACCGGUGACGACCCCGACCAGUUCGGCCUGGUGCUCGACA